GACGUAGGGGGCCAGCGUUGCUCGGAAUUACUGGGCGUAAAGGGUCCGUAGGCGGUGUGGCAAGUCGGAAGUGAAAUCUCUGGGCUUAACCCAGAGGCUGCUUCCGAAACUGCUGUGCUAGAGUGUGAGAGAGGCGAGUGGAAUUGCGGGUGUAGCGGUGAAAUGCGUAGAUAUCCGCAGGAACAUCCGAGGCGAAAGCGGCUCGCUGGAUCACAACUGACGCUGAGGGACGAAAGCUAGGGGAGCAAACAGG
rnacentral:rRNA from 1 species